rnacentral:tRNA from 1 species
CCGAUGCUGGCGGCCGGACCGGACACGCGCCUGGCGGGCGUGUGGGCGCGACGCCCCGAGGUCGCGGCCAGGUUCGGCGUCCCGGUCUUCGACC